rnacentral:sRNA from 1 species
GCCAGGUAUGGUGGUGCAUGCCUGUAAUCCCAGAAACUCAGGAGGCUGAGGCAGGAGGAUUCAAGGCCAGCCUCAGUAAUUUAGAGAGAUCCCUGUCUCAA